rnacentral:lncRNA from 8 species
CAGAAGCAAGCCAGCAGUGGGAUGCAGGGCGGUAACGCUGCUGGAAGACUGCCGUUAACUGCACUGUCAUAACUGUUGUGAAUGGCCAUCAAACCCCUUUUCUCUGGUUGUUCUUCCAGACUCCUCCUGCUGUGAAUAGGAUCCGGACCCUACUGGAGAACAAGCCAGAAUACGUAAGUCUCCUUCUAACUAACGCUCCUCUAUCCCACUGAGAUGAUAUAUAACCCUCCUCUAUCCCACUGACAUGAUAUAUAACCCUCCUCUAGCCCACUGAGAUGAUAUAUAACCCUCCUCUAUCCCACUGAGNNNNNNNNNNNNNNNNNNNNACACCCGUUUAACAUCCCAUCCAAAAGACAGCACCCUACACAGGGCAAUGUCCCCAAUCACUGCCCUGGGGCAUUGGGUUAUGUUUUUUUAGACCAGAGGAAAGAGUGCCUCCUACUGGCCCUCCAACACCACUUCCAGCAGCAUCUGGUCUCCCAUCCAGGGACUGACCAGGACCAACCCUGCUUAGCUUCAGAAGCAAGCCAGCAGUGGGAUGCAGGGCGGUAACGCUGCUGGAAGACUGCCGUUAACUGCACUGUCAUAACUGUUGUGAAUGGCCAUCAAACCCCUUUUCUCUGGUUGUUCUUCCAGACUCCUCCUGCUGUGAAUAGGAUCCGGACCCUACUGGAGAACAAGCCAGAAUACAUUGGUCUGAAGGUGGGUGUUAGGACGCGGGGCUGUAAUGGUAUGACCUACACUCUGGACUUCACCAAACAGAAGGAUCAGGCUGACGAGGAGGUGCUGCAGGACGGUGUCCGUGUAUUCAUAGAGAAGAAGGCCCAGCUCACUCUGCUGGGGACCGAGAUGGACUUCGUGGAGUCCAAGCUGUCCAGUGAGUUUGUCUUCAACAACCCCAAUAUCAAGGGCACCUGUGGCUGUGGAGAGAGCUUCAACAUCUGAGAGGGCUUCCUGCUGUGGAGAGGGCUUCAACAUCUGAGAGGGCUUCAACAUCUGAGAGGGCUUCCUGCUGUGGAGAGGGCUUCAACAUCUGAGAGGGCUUCCUGCUGUGGAGAGCUUCAACAUCUGAGAGCUUCAAUAUCUGAGAAAGCUUCCUGCUGUGGCCUGGCCUCCCAACACACACACACCGCCCAACCUCAUCUCUCUCUCUCUCUCUCUUUCUCUCUCUCUGUCUCUCUCUCUCUGUCUCUCUCUCUCUGUCUCUCUCUCUCUGUCUCUCUGUCUGUCUCUCUGUCUGUCUGUCUCUCUCUGUCUGUCUCUCUCUGUGUGUCUCUCUCUGUGUCUGUCUCUCUCUGUGUCUCUCUGUGUCUGUCUCUCUCUGUGUCUGUGUCUCUGUCUCUCUCUCUGUGUCUCUGUCUGUCUCUCUGUGUCUCUGUCUGUGUCUCUGUGUCUCUGUCUCUCUCUCUCAGCCCAUCUCUUCCCUAGCCUAUAGGCCUGUGAGGUGAAUAGAGAACUGGAGAGCAGAAAGAGUAAAGCUGUGGGCCUUGGAACAUGGUGGAGAUCCUUAGACCUUGUAGUUAAACACUGAGCCAAUAGACUUCCCCCUUCUUACACUAAGGAGCACAUAGACACACUAGGGUUCUGACAGGCUAUACUGUAACAGUACCCAGAAGCCUUGGAGAGAGGGGGGCUGAAUAUACAGUAGACAGACAGGAAAUGUUGGUUAGCCAAUGGAACUCGACACAGGAAAUUGUUAUCCGUCCACAUGAUGCAGGGGUUCAGUACGGCGUAACAUUUACACAACAUUCUGAUUUAGAAAUGUGUUUUAUAGAACAUGUAUGAUGUCUUUCAAUCGUAGAAUAGACGGUAAUGUCCGCUCUAUUUGUUACGUUUCUGUGUGCAACUUUGAGAACGUUUCACCUUACUGAGGUUGAAGAGUUCCCGACCGACUGAUUUUGAAGUUUGUAAAUUAUUUUGUUAUACUUGGUUGUUUUGGUGUGUGUGUGUGUGUGUGUGUGUGUGUGUGUGUGUGUGUGUGUGUGUGUGUGUGUGUGUGUGUGUGUGUGUGUGUAUAAAUAAGAAUGUACAAAAACCUGUAUAAACGCACAAAACCAUAUUCCUCACCUAUAGAGGGUUCUUUCCGCUCCAUGCCAGAACAUGUGUUUGACAUGUAUGUAACUAGUGCAAUACGUCUAUGUACAGUUGGUGUGAUGUGUCUACGACUAGAAUAAAUAGGAAAUAUAAAGUGGUUUGUCUUUUUCUCUUCUUUUAACCCUUGUUUUUUUUAACCAGGUAAGUUGACUGACAACACAUUCUCAUUUACAGCAACAGCCUGAGGGAAUAGUUACAGGGGAGGGGAGGAGGGGCCAAUUGGAAGCUGGGGAAGAAGAGGUGACCGUAUGAAGGGCCAGGUUGGUAAUUUAGUCAGGACAUCAGGGUUAACACCCCUACUCUUACAGUAAGUGGCGUGGUAACUUUAGUCACCACAGAGAGUCAGGACACCCGUUUAACAACCCAUCCAAAAGACUGCACCCUACACAGGGCAAUGUCCCCAAUCACUGCCAUGGGGCACUGGGAUAUUUUUUUUUAUUUUGCUCAAAGGAAAGAGUGCCUCCUACUGUCCCUCCAAGACCACUUCCAGCAGCAUCUGGUCUCCCAUCCAGGGACUGACCAGGACCAACCCUGCUUAGCUUCAGAAGCAAUCCAGCAGUGGUAUUAGGGCUGCUGGGGGAGAGAGUAACCUGUAGACAUAUCGACCACUCCAGUAACCUAGCUUAGUUUAAGACUGUAUCUUUUGCAUUUACAGUUGAAGUCGGAAGUUUACAUACACCUUAGCCAAAUACAUUUAAACUCAGUUUUUCACAAUUCCUGACAUUUAAUCCUUGUAAAAAUUCCCUGUCUUAUGUCAGUUAGGAUCACCACUUUAUUUUAAGAAUGUGAAAUGUAAGAAUAAGAGUAGAGAGAAUUAUUUAUUUCAGCUGUUAUUUCUUGCAUCACAUUCCCAGUGGGUCAGAAGUUUACAUACACUCAAUUAGUAUUUGGAAGCAUUGCCUUUAAAUUGUUUAACUUGGGUCAAAUGUUUCGGGUAGCCUUCCACAAACUUCUCACAAUAAGUUGGGUGAAUUUU